rnacentral:lncRNA from 1 species
UUUUUUUCUUCUCGUCCUCUUCUUCUUCUUCUUCUUAUUCUUCUUCUUCUCGUCCUCCUCCUCCUCCUCUUCUCUUCUCCUCCUCCUCUUCUUCUACUUCUUCCUCUUCUUUCCAUUAAGCUAACUAACUAACUAACCUAACUAACCAAGCUAACUAAACCUAUCGCUAAACCUAUACAACACUAAACAGAAAAAAAAUAAAAAAAACA